rnacentral:rRNA from 1 species
CCCUUAGAUGUUCUGGGCCGCACGCGCGCUACACUGAUGCAUUCAACGAGUCCAACCUUGACCGAGAGGUCCGGGUAAUCUUUGAAACUGCAUCGUGAUGGGGCUAGAUUAUUGCAAUUAUUAAUCUUCAACGAGGAAUGCCUAGUAAGCGUGAUUCAUCAAAUCGCGUUGAUUACGUCCCUGCCCUUUGUACACACCGCCCGUCGCUCCUACCGAUUGAGUGUGUUGGUGAGGAGUUUGGAUUGGCCUCGGAAGGUGGUUCGCCACCGUCCGUAGCUGAGAAGUUCUCCAAACCGCCCCACUUAGAGGAAGGGGAAGUCGUAACA